UUCCAAUACAGACAGGCAUUAUUAUUGCCAUGUUACAGUUGAGGAGACUAAGCCACAGAGAGUUUUAGUAGCCCCAAAUAAUAGUUAAAUGGCAGAACCACAGUCAAACUCCAAAGACAGUGGUCUAUACUAGUACACAUUACUGUCAGGCUACAUCCAAAUUCUUAGAAAAUAAUUUGGACUCAUCUCUGGGUACAGAUAAAUGAGCUUUUGAGGUCACAGAAUUCUGCUUCAUCUAGUGUGGCACCCAUAAUCCCAAUUUCAUUAGCACAGAAUAACUGCUUUGAGCUAAGCAACUCACUCUAGAGGCUUCUGAGUACUCAAUCAGAUUAAAAGUAGGUGCCAUCCACCCAAAACUGUUACUUUGGUUUUAAGUGAGUUAAGGAACAGCAUGUGGCCCUUAUUGCUGGCUGUUUACUAAGGCCGUUUCGAGGUUGUGACAACAAGCCUGAUCUGAGUAUAGCACAGUGGCCUAAGAGUGAGGACCCCGGAGUGUGACAGGUCUGGUGUGCAUCUGCUUCAGUACUUGCUAGCUGUUUGACCUUGGGAAAAUUAACUUCCCUUUCUGAGCCUCACUUCUCUUUUCUGUAAAGUGGGGAUUAUAAUUCCUACUUCAAUGUUGGACAGACCAAAUUACAAUAUGUGUACACAUACAUACCCCUGGCACAGAGCCCUUGACACUAGCAGCCACUAUUGUGAAUUUCUGAGAAAGGGGAUGCAUGUCUUUCUAUUCCCUAGAGCAGGGCAUCUACAGACAGCUCAUGCAAAAGUAUAUCAUUUCAUUAAGGAAAUAUUUCAAGAUAAAGAAAACUCAGAACCUGUCCCUAUUUUAUUCUGCUGGAUAUUGUAAACUGAACCAUGAAGAGACUCCAAGGCUGAAGCUAGUAUUACUGUCACUUCCAUAGCUCUAUGUGGGCUCAUGAUUCCCAUAUGGAGGUCAGGAAGCUUAGUAUGUGACCAAUUCUGCCUAAAUUGUCAUUAGCAAGGGAGGGUCAAUAAAGUCACAAUCUUAUAUACUUUCCUCACAAGGUGACAAAGAGCAUAGCAGUUGUCUACAGGGGACUUUCACCACGCAAGGGGGUCCUGGUCCCAAUGAGAGCCUUUACAGCAUGAGAGGGUCAUUAUCAGCAAUGGCUUGUGAGUACUCAACUGUUCCAAAUAUCAGCUCCACUGCUCCCUAUGCUCUGAAAUUAGAGCAUGAGACCAAGACCUGGGUUUCUGGGAGGGGCCUGCAAGAGAUAGCUGGACACCACGAUAGGCAUGCCUCCUUCCACCUACACCUCUUCAUCUUGUACCAGAUCUAGAUAGUGUAGCAGGUAAGCCUAAGAAUCUGAGCUCAGGAACCAGAUCACCUGGACUCAGAUCCUGCCUCCAACUUAGUAGCUGCAUGACCGAGGACAAGUUAUUUAACCCCAACAUCAUGUUGCUCAGGGAAGUUUCCUUUGAUGACAACACAGAUGGACAGAGAUGGAGCUAAGAUUUUUGUCUUUCUUCCCAGCAUGUGCAUCCUGGGUCAUGACACACGUAUUUGGAAGCUUAAGCCCCAGUAGGAAGCUGACCUUUCUGGAUUCUAUAGACCUGUGUUUAGCAUUAAGUAUUUUCAAACAAGCUCUCUAAGCCAAGGGAAACAGCUUCUUCUGCCUAAUAAUUAAGACUUCUAAAGAAUGGUGGCCACUUUGAAUGACAGAGAGAAAUGGGGCAGGGAGAAAGGAACUGGCAUAUACUGGGUCAGUUCCUUCUGUGUGCCAGAUUUUACCCCCCACCCCACAAGCAGAUCUUCUAUCUCUACCCCCUUUAAAGAUCAAAAACAUUAUCAGAGGUUGUCUUCAUUUCACACACGAAGAGACAGUAGCUUGCCCAGGUUUACACAACUUAAUUCCCCAAGUCUUUCUGAUUUCAAAUCCCAAGCUCUCUCCUUCACAUGACACUGUUUAUUAGCUUUCCUUACACACCCCUGUUUACCUGAUUUUAGAUCCAAAUAUUAAUAUUACAGGGCUCAGGUCUUGGCCUAGGAACAAGGACUGGCAUCCUCUUUUCUUCUGCCCCCAAUCUUCACAGAACUAUCUAGAAUUCCUCAUUCAGUCACACUAUCUGAAAUGUUAACAAGUAGAGCCUUCCUAGGGUAAAAAGCCUCCCGUCACGUUCAGAUGUAGGGAAAAUCCCAUAUUUGAUUAUAAUAACAUUUUACUUCCUCUUUCCAACUUGAAGAAAAAACUCAAGCCUUCUUGUAUUACAGGUUCUCAGAAAUGUUGAUCCAUCUUUUGUAUCUAAGUUUUUAUUUUUCCUUUUGCAAAAGCUGCUCUAAAUACCAGCUUUGCUGCUCCGUAGGCUCAGAAUGGUCAGAAGAACAUUCACAUUAUGAGUAUGACUCUGUGGAAUGCUUGACCACUAAGUUUGGUAAAUAGCUGGUCAGUCUUUUUCACUUUAGCCACAGUUGGGGAGGAAAGCCUCUAUAUGAGUGGCAGAGGCUGGCUGGCUGUUUACCAGACUAAUUUCUUCUUUCUGAGGACACAGUAGCUUACAUUUCCUAGCUUUCUUUGCCACUGGUUUGCUACGGCCAUGCAAUUGAGUUCUAGCUAAUGGAAUAUGAGCAGAAGUGAAGCACUCCACUUCCAGGGUGAGACCCCUAACUCCCCUUCUCCCCAUGCGCAGCCUUCCACUCUCUUCUUCCUAUUGCUGGCAUGAAGCACAUAAGCAAGCUAUCUUGGAAGCCAUGUGUUGAAGCUGGUGAAGACUACAAGAUGGAAGGAGCCUGGUCCCAGAAUCACCACUUGGAGGAAAGCUGCUUGCUGUUCAAGUACACCAGUUUUGGAUUUCACACAGGGAGGGAAAACCAGUGUACUGAUUUCAUAUUGUUCAAACACACAUGUCUUACAAUCAAUUGUAAAAGGCCUACUCUUUGGUCUUUUAUGGAAAAAUUUGCUGACUCUUGGUGAGUAUAUUAAGAAAAACUUGGAAAAACCUAAAUCUUCAAGAGUGGAGAAUUAGAAAGUAAGACACGUUGUAUAUAAGACAGAGAGUGUGUGUGUGCACUUAUUUGUAAAUAUAUUGUUUGGAAGUAAUGUUGUCAACAUAUGUUGUAGGUCUUAAAAAUUGUUCAAUAUAUAGUGUUAAUCAACAAACAGGCAAAUUAUAAAAGGUAGACAGAAUGUGAUUUCGCAUUUUGUGCAUAAACCAACAGAAGAGGGUGCUAAGAAGCCUGUGGACCAACAUGCUAAGUGUGGCUCUUUUGAUGGUGGUAUUAUGGAUUUUUAAAAGUCUUCUUGGUUUUGUAUAGAUUCUGACUUUCCUGUAAUGAGUGUGAAUAAAUAUGUGUUUCUUUAAAAAUGUAAAAAUAACUUUAUCUUCCCAGAUUUCUCAUAAUUGAAAAUGUUGGAACAAAUGGUCCUGGGACAGAUCUUUCCUUUGAGAAGGGCAGAGGAGGGGAUUCAGCUGGGUUUCUGUUGCAUUUCUAGUAACACACAGUUGUGAAAGGCCAGUGUUGGCCAUUCCCCAGGACAGACUGGGGUAGAGGAGGUCAGGAUUUAAUUACUUGAGGGACUGGGGAACAGAUGUAGCCACAGCCCUUCCCGACUCACUGUUUUCCCUUCCACAGUCCCCGUCUUCUCUUCACUGAUGCACAUAGAUGCCUGACCAGAGGAGAGACUUCAUUUUCGUCCAAGGAUUAUCUGUUAUGCUGCAGUUCUGAAAUUCCCAUAAUGUUUAAACUAGAACACAAGUGAUUUCAUUAUCUCCAAUGUGUAUGGCUUGAUAGAAAUAUAUUCCAUUAUGUAGCACCUUAAAUCCAGAUAAAACGUAAGGAAUUUCUAUUCCAUGUUUGUAUGAUCAGUGCUAAUAAUAUAAAAAGUCUAAAAAGUAGCUAUUUCCUAUAUUACAGUAUGAAAUAAAUAUGUUGAAUGAUUUUUUUUGGUGGGAGGGAAGGUGUAAGACUGAGGAGGGUGCCUGUGGGGAACAGUGAUAGGAGUCCUUUCUUAAGGGUUGGGUUUUAUAUUUGUCUUUUAAAAUAGAUGAUAUCAUUAAUAAAUUAUCUGCGGGCAUCAUGAAAAAAGUUUAUAAUGUACAACUUUAUGAGCUUGACAGUUGGUGAAACACUUUUCUGUUUAAAAUUUUAUUUGACCCUCCCCAAAAGAAAUGUUUAUUUAUGAGUAUUAGGAUAGUUCCAGUGGUAAUGCCUCAAAAGAACCAGGAGGUAUAGUGUUGUCUAAAAUGUGGACUCAGGAGCCAGACUGCCUGGCUGUGCAAAUAGCCUUGUCAUUUCCUAGAUAUGUGGCAAAUUAAUUAACUUCUCAGUGUUCUUAUCUGUAGAAUGGGGAUAAUCAUAAUAUAUAUCUCAGGGUUAUAUUAAAAAUUGAAAAAGUUAAUUUUGUGUAGCACUUAGAAUGAUAUCUGGCAAAUAAAAGUGUUUACAAAAGCAAACCCUAUAAAAAUGUUUACUCAUUAAAUACAAUAAUCUGAAGCCAUUAAUGAUUUAAACAUUUGUGGCUGACUUGAUAAUGUUUAUGAAAAUAAAUACUGUAUUUAUAAUCUUUGACCUGGUUUUACUCCUAGGAGUUUAUUGUACAGUAAACAUUUUCACAGGCAGUCAAAAAUAUUACUAUAAAAUCAUGUUUAUUACAUCUAUCUGUGCAAAAGGAAAAAAAUUAGGCAAAUAAAAUGACAAUCAAAAGUGGUAUUAGUUAAAUGAAUUAUAGUAAAUCCGCUGAUUAGUAAUCAUAUAAUCCAAAAAGAAGGAGGCAUAUUUACGUGACAUGGGAAGAUCCACAACUAAUGUUAAAUGGUAAAAGAUAUAAAAUGUUAUGCCCAAUAAAAUACUUUCUGUGAGAGAA